rnacentral:lncRNA from 1 species
ACAAAACGACAGGCAGCGUGUCGGAGGGGAGGUUUCAGACAGAGGAGCAUGACUGCUGUACGGAGAGAAUACGCAGGAAAACAGAGAACGAUGGACAGGUUCAAGCCAGUGAAACAUUGUGUCUGGAGAAGAGGCAGAGUGCUUGUCUGUGAGCAUGUCAUACCUUGUUAGCUAUUUAUCUGGAUGUAAACAUUUAUGGACAGCUGCUGGUGAAAUGAUCAUGACAAGAUACUGAGGCCCCACAUAUUGAACGGAUUAUCUUUUCAAUGUGUUAUACUUUGCUUAACAGCCUUGAUAGGCACACUGAAUGACAAACUAAAUAAAUACAUCUAUGAUUGAAUGUGCUAAUUACUUUUUUCCACUGUGGCAGUCUAUUUAUAACAUUAUUGAUUAUAUCCAUGUUGAAAAAGAUAGUAUACUGCAUGCUGGUUAGGUAUGUUUUGAAGCAUAGCUGCUGGUUUGAGCUCGUUUAAGCUGGUCCUUGGAAUGUCGUGAGCUAGUUUAAGAUGGUUCUUAGAUGGUCAUGUGCUGGUCCUAAGCAACUAGCUCCUGCUUAGGACCAGCACAUGACCAUCUUAAACCAGCUCAUGACCAGCAGCCAUGCUUCAAAACAUUUUUCAACAGGGAUAACACUGACAAACUCACUUGAGUAAAACAAUAUGACAACCAGUCUAAGUUUAUCAAAUUUUAAACAUUCUGCAAUGCUACAUUUAUACAGUAUGCAUAAGCAUGUUAACCGUGUCUAACGAAGCCAUUUCUCUCACUGCUCUUCAUACACCGGCAACACAACACAAGUUAUUCACAAAAGAGAUCACACAAUAAUUCACAAUAAUUGAAUGUAUUUGUUAAAAUUAUUAUCAGAUGUUCAAAAACAGGCUUUUUGACCAUUGUUUUCUUUAGAGUGACUAAGUUGGUGAUUUAUAAUUAUAUGGUUUUAUUUAAAGGUGCCAUAGAAUGCAUUGAUACAAUAUUUUAAAUUGUUCUUUGAUGCUCUCAGAGUGUGUAUGUGAAGUUUUAUCUCAAAAUACCCCACAGAUAAUUUUUUUAUAGCUUGUUGAAAUUGCAAACUUUGAGGGUAUGAGCCAAAAUGUGCUGUUUAUGUGAAUGUCCCCUUUAAAUGAAAAUGAGCUGAUGCUCCUGCCUCCCUUCUCAGACGAGUGCGGAGCUUCAAGAGAUUAUGCUCGUGGGCAUACCAGUGUUACGGUUUAACUGGUGGUGAAUGUGCUACUGACCUCACAACACAUUUUUUAACUAUCACCUGUUUACGAUCAUUCUGGUAGCACGUGAAGGCAGCAUUAGUGAAAACAGGCAGAGACAAUGGUAGCUUUAGCAACAUUAACCUUACAGAGAGCCAAGAAGCUCUUUUGGA